rnacentral:tRNA from 1 species
GCAGCGUUAGUGUUCAACGGUCAGCACAUCGGCCUUCCAAGCCGAGAGUGGCGGUUCAAAUCCGCUACGCUGCUCCA